rnacentral:rRNA from 1 species
UACGUAGGGUGCGAGCGUUGUCCGGAAUUAUUGGGCGUAAAGGGCUCGUAGGCGGUCUGUUGCGUCGGGAGUGAAAACUCAGGGCUUAACCCUGAGCCUGCUUCCGAUACGGGCAGACUAGAGGUAUGCAGGGGAGAACGGAAUUCCUGGUGUAGCGGUGAAAUGCGCAGAUAUCAGGGGGAACACCGGUGGCGAAGGCGGUUCUCUGGGCAUUACCUGACGCUGAGGAGCGAAAGUGUGGGGAGCGAACAGG